rnacentral:rRNA from 1 species
AUGGCGCGAAUGGCGGUCUCCGUGCUCUUCCUCAUCGCCGGCGUCGUGCUCAUGCUCGCGCUGCACGUCCUCGUCAUCGUCUGGGCGGUCCGGCGGGGCGCCGUGCUGCGGCUGCGCGGCGUGGCGCGGGAGCGGGACCGGGAGCAGGGUGAAGCGGCGGGUCUGACGGCCGACGAGCUGGGCGAGCUGCCGUGCCAGGACUUCAAGGCCGCCUCCGCGGACACGACCGCCGGCGAGUGUGCGGUGUGCCUGGAGGCGUUCCAGGGGGGCGACCGGUGCCGCGUGCUGCCGGGGUGCCACCACGGGUUCCAUGCGCAGUGCGUGGACUCGUGGCUGCGGCAGAGCCGCUGGUGCCCUGUGUGCCGCGCCGAGGUGGCCUGCCGCGGCAAGGCGGCCGGUGCGCUGGCCGAUCAGGCCGCCACCUCGGAGACCGUCGCUGAAAGACUGGGAGGUGCAGAUCGCUAG